UACGUAGGGACCAAGCGUUGUUCGGAUUUACUGGGCGUAAAGGGCGCGUAGGCGGCCACGACAAGUCAGUUGUGAAAUCUCUGGGCUUAACUCAGAACGGUCAACUGAUACUGUCGGGCUAGAGUGCAGAAGGGGCAACUGGAAUUCUCGGUGUAGCGGUGAAAUGCGUAGAUAUCGAGAGGAACACCUGCGGCGAAGGCGGGUUGCUGGGCUGACACUGACGCUGAGGCGCGAAAGCUAGGGGAGCAAACGGG
rnacentral:rRNA from 1 species